AAAGUGAACUUAAAUGGUCACAAACAAAACCCAGAGAUGCCACGCAUAACUAGUACCUGGACGGUUUCCAUCAACAUUCCAAAGAAAGUGCCACCCAAGCAACGACAAUACAUGGGAAACACAAAACAAAAGAUGAUCUGGUGGAUGCCUAUCAAGUCUGGCAAUUUUUUGCGAUAAAUUGCACAAGUUGGCGAACAAACAAAGAGUCUGCAGCAUCAUCAUUUGAUGUUCAUUGUUUCAACAUAAAUCCCUGAACAAGUUCUUUGCUGCCAGAGCGGUCGCCCUUCCUUAACCAUAGUUCAGGCGGAACAUGUCAUUCUGCACGUAGAAGCUCCCUCCAGCUGGCAGCAAAUGGAACAUCUGCAAAUACAGUGAUCACAAGGUUAGAAAAGACUCCAAAUCCUUGUGUCAAGGACAACUAAGAAAAUUUCCCUUGAUAACUUCCAUGCAACCUCUCAACCCGUUAAGACACAGACCUGCUACCAGGAAGAAAAACCAUCCUAAUAGGCAAAUGGACACGGACAUAGUGAAUUAAAGAGCUACACUCUUCUAAGGACCAGUAACAAAUCACGUUGAUCAAGGACCAUCUAAGAGCCCCACUGUUCAAUAAAAAAGGCAGCAUAAGCGUCAUAAAGCAUGGAACUGUUGAACUGAGUGGCUAAGAGGUGUAAUGGAUUACAAAUUACUUACAUGUGCAUCAAGGUUAGAUUUGGAAAACUACAUAUUACCCAUAAAAAAGCCGGACUUGCAAUUAGAAGGUAAUUUCCUACAAAUAGGGUUAUCCAGCAGAUGGCACACACAUGUUAUAUCUUGUAUCAUCAUCAGCGACCUAUUUAAGAUACAACUACACAUAAACAGUGGGUGAAUUGUUUCAUUAGCAAACCAUAGGUUUAUACUCGCUCCAUCCCGUAAUGUAAGAUGUUAUUACAACCGAUAUACUCACAUAUUGGUUGUAAUAACAACUUAUAUUACAGGACAGAGGGAGUAUUUGUUACUCUAAACAACCACAUAAGUAUGAAUAUAGCACACCAUCGUCACAUAAACAGUGCAUGGUGAAAGGAAUUCUGAAAAGGAAGCAAUGAAACUUCAAUAGAAGAAGUGCGCUAGCUACAACAAUCCAACAUAUGACUCUGGAACAUACUACCUCACCCCUCUUUCCCAAGGCAUGGCCAAAACAUAUCUCUAGUUCAUAGCAACUAGGAAAGUGAUGCUCACAUUAUCGGUAUCACAAAUUAAAAAAAAAAAAGAGCAACACUACAGCAAAUAUCGUACUGAUGCAACAGAGCAAUGCAUAUUAUCUAUUCACAUCAAGAAACAACCACAUCAGUACUCACUAACAUGGCAAUCACUACAUAUGGCCAAAUCCAGCGACCAAGAGCCAUAACUGAGCCAACAAAAAAAAUGAAGAUCACACUUGGAAACACAACAGUGAUAGAUGGACAGAAAUAUCCAUUCAUACUGCAAAGCAUGGUCCUAGGGAAUGAAAUAAUUUAGAGCAAUCAGUAACAAAGAGCGAUCGGCACCAAACUACAGGCCAGUAUAUACUGAAUAAUGGUCAAUUUUUAGGACAGACUAAAAUCUCAACAGAUCUUGUAAAGAACUACACGCACUGAAAUUACCUCAAGGAAAAGUAAAUCUGAAAACGUGCCUACGAAACAAAAGAACUGUCAAAAGGAGAUCCCAAGGACGAUGCGUACAAGGGAAUGACACAGUUCCGGGAUAAAGAUCUAUAAAUGCCCACUUGUCUCCAGGUCCAAACAAAUCUAGCAUAGCCUAAUUAAUCAAGUACCAUCUAGUGAUGAGACAGGGAUAUAGAUUAAGUUGACAGACCCCACCGAUCAUGAUAGCAAAGCAUAGAUCACAGAAACGAAAUUCAGGGCCUUCCACUUCUAGGGAAGAAGUACCGUAUGAUUUGGGAAUUUGGAACCAAACGAAGGAUCGCAGUAGUGAUCACAGUUAAUAGGAUCAGAUCAGCACAUACGAGAACCAAACAAAAGAAAUACUGGACGAGGGGAAGGGCGAGAUGGAGCGAAUCGUGUGGGUGGUGCAGACCUGUGAGAACUUGAGGGGGUGCUCGCCGGGGCCGGUGGUGAUGGUGCCGGAGACGAAGACGAGGACGCCGCCCUGGGGCCCCGAGGGCUGGCAGUCGACGGUGUCGAUCUUGUGCUGGCACUGCUGGAAGGGGAGAGAUCCGAGCUUGCCGGCGAUGGCGGCGGGGCCGCCGAACUUCUCGCCCUCGAAGGUGAGCAUGGAGCCGUCCUGGUACAGCCCCACCAGCGCGGCGCGGUUGGAGUCGAACGUCUGGUAGUAGUGCUGCACGAACGCCUUCGAGACCGAAUCGGGAUCCAUGGCCUCUCCCUCCGCUGCGCCGCGCCUCGCCUCGCCUAGGGUUUGGAGCUCUGGAUGCGAAGGCUUUGGGCGUUGGGAGCCGGAGUUUGGUAAGUGGGGAGAGAGGGGUUCGUGAGGGGAAUAAUAAUUGCUGGCGAUUUGGAUGGGGAUGGCCGGGGGUGGGGGUUGGCGUGGGAAGGACGCUACGCUGUAGGGGCUGGGCCCGUCGAUGGAGGAAUGCAGCGUUGGGCUAGUUUUCCAUUUUUGGGAGAUGCGGCGUUGGGGGUGCCUAUGUCUCGCAUUAAGCGAGAGAGGAGCGAACCGAACCCCUUGCUGAAGGCAAAUGCCACUUGGCCCGGCCCACGCGCGCGGGAUACACACCAGCCUGUUUUCUGUUUUCUCACUUUUUUAUUUUUAUUUUUUUAUUUAUAUUUAUAAUAUUCUAAAUAUAUACAGAUUAAAAAAUACUCUUCAGAAACACAUUUAAAAAAUGUUAAACAAGUAUUUGAAAAUUUUUGAAUAAUUAUUAAAAAAUGUUGCAUAAGAAUUUGAAAAAUAUUGAACAAGUAUUUGAAAAAUGUUGAAUAAGUAUUUAAAAUGUUGGUCAAGUAUUCCAAAAAUGUUGAAUAAGUAUUAAAAAAAUUUGAACAAGUAUUUGGAAUAUGUUGAAUCAAUACUAAAAUGUUAAGCAAUUAUUUGAAAAAAUGUUGAAUAAGCGUUCGGACAAUGUUGAACGUAUCACUACUGGAAUCAGGAUCUUUGUCGUCAGCCAGCUUUUUGCCGUCUGCUAGCUGACGGCAAAGAAAGAGCACAAAGACCAUAUUUGCCGUCAGCCAGCUCUUUGCCGUCUGCUAGCAGACGACAAAAAGGGAGGGUGGCCCACUAACGAGAACUACCUAACAGCCACUUUCUUUGCCGUCUGCUAGCAGACGGCAAAGCUUCCUGCCGUCCGCGAGCAGACGACAAAGAGAAUAGCCAACCUAACGGCCGUUUCCCCCGCCCCCACCCCACUAGCUACGCUCUUUGCCGUCCACUAGCAGACGGCAAAGAAAUUAAACCUAACUAAAAAACGAUCGCCCCACGCCCCACCCCUCUCUCUCCCUCACCUCACCCGCGCCGCCCCCGUGCGCGCCGCCCCCGCCGCCGACCCCCACCGCCCCGACCACNNNNNNNNNNNNNNNNNNNNNNNNNNNNNNNNNNNNNNNNNNNNNNNNNNNNNNNNNNNNNNNNNNNNNNNNNNNNNNNNNNNNNNNNNNNNNNNNNNNNNNNNNNNNNNNNNNNNNNNNNNNNNNNNNNNNNNNNNNNNNNNNNNNNNNNNNNNNNNNNNNNNNNNNNNNNNNNNNNNNNNNNNNNNNNNNNNNNNNNNNNNNNNNNNNNNNNNNNNNNNNNNNNNNNNNNNNNNNNNNNNNNNNNNNNNNNNNNNNNNNNNNNNNNNNNNNNNNNNNNNNNNNNNNNNNNNNNNNNNNNNNNNNNNNNNNNNNNNNNNNNNNNNNNNNNNNNNNNNNNNNNNNNNNNNNNNNNNNNNNNNNNNNNNNNNNNNNNNNNNNNNNNNNNNNNNNNNNNNNNNNNNNNNNNNNNNNNNNNNNNNNNNNNNNNNNNNNNNNNNNNNNNNNNNNNNNNNNNNNNNNNNNNNNNNNNNNNNNNNNNNNNNNNNNNNNNNNNNNNNNNNNNNNNNNNNNNNNNNNNNNNNNNNNNNNNNNNNNNNNNNNNNNNNNNNNNNNNNNNNNNNNNNNNNNNNNNNNNNNNNNNNNNNNNNNNNNNNNNNNNNNNNNNNNNNNNNNNNNNNNNNNNNNNNNNNNNNNNNNNNNNNNNNNNNNNNNNNNNNNNNNNNNNNNNNNNNNNNNNNNAGAAGAUGAUGAUGAUGAUGAUGAUGAUGAUGAUGAUGAUGGAAGAAGAAGAAGAGGAAGAAGAUGAAAAAACAAGAAAGUUGAAAAAACAACAUUGGAUUAUUAGAAGAAGAAAGUUUAGGUUAGUGGGUGGUUUAGGUUAGUGCUAGCUAGGUUUAGGUUUAGAUUAUUAGAAGAAGAAAGAUGAAAAAAAGAAGUAGAAGAAGAAGAGGAAGAAGAAGAAGAAGAAGAGUAAGAAGAAGAAAGAUGAAAAAAGAAGUAAAAGAAGAAGAGGAGGAAGAAGAAGAAGAGUAAGAAGAAGAUGAUGAAAAAAAGAAUAAUAAGUAGAAGAAGAAGAAGAAGAAGAAGAAGAUGACGAUGAUGAAAAAAGGAAGAAGUAGAAGUAGAAGAUGAAAAAAGAAGUAGGAAAAGUAGAAAAAGAGGGUCGCCGAUGGUCUAGGGUCGCCGAGGGGUCGAGGGUAGCCGAGUGGUCGAGGGGUUGAGGAUCGAGGGGAAUAUAUAUUAUUAAUUAGUUCAUGUUAUUAGGUAUUAAAUUUUUUAUUAUGUUCAUGAUGAUGGUACACACUUAAAUAUUUUAUUAUGUUUAUGUUGUACUAGUUUCGUUUACUCUUUGUCAUUGCAGGUGUUGACAGAUGGUGGGCACGGGUCGAGAGCGCUCCGAGCCUCCUUCCUCGGCGCGUGUUGGGAGGGGUGCUAUUAUUCCACCCCAGCACCUUCGGAGAGCGCUGGCAGACAGCAUGAUGACACCGGCGGGCGCUUCUUCUUCGACCGGGAGAGGUCGGGGGAAGUCCAAGAGGGCUGCUAGAGGUGGAUGUGGCGGCGGGAGAGGUAGGAAGACUGUUGCACCUUCCUCGCCGCCACCCCAGUUGUUUCUCCGGACCACCGGAGUGCUCCGUCUCAGGUGGACCCGUCAUACUUGGACCCGUCUCGGACUCCGGUCCACGAGCCUUCGUCCCAUGAGACUCGGGCCCCAGAGUCUUUGUCCCACGAGACUCCGGUCCUAGAGUCUUCGUCCCACGGGACUCCGGAGACUAGUGGCCAUGCUAAUGGCGAGGAAACCUGGUCUGAUGAUAGUUAUAGCAAGGGCGAGCUGGUUGAGGGGGGCAAGAAGGUCUACCAGCCUGGUGGUACGAAGCUCCCGGCUGUGCCGGCGACCCGCGAUCACAGGUGGUUGAUUGAGCCUAACGGGGAGAAGUAAGUGCAUUUACUCUUUUUUAACCUUUGUCCUUCAUGUUUCUUCAAAUUAAUAUCUAAUGUGUUGGUCUUGUCAUACUACAGGGGUUGGAUACACGCCGAUGGUGUCCGCAGGCCCAACCAGGUCCUUGGUGUGCUUUGCCGGCACCACUUCCCAGGGUGGGUCAUGUUGCCCGGUGAGGGUUAGGUUCCACAGCUAGCACUGAGCUGGGAGCUGUACGUGGCUGCCCAGGCCCCGCCGGAGGAGAGGGUCGACGGUUUCUUGUGCGAGACGGUGGCCGACAUUGUGAGGUGGCGGUUUUGGGUAAUUUCUCCUUACAGAAUUAGAAAUCAACACUACCUAGUGAUUGUACUAAUCAGUGUUGUCUUGUUCGAUUGUAGACCUUCUACAAGUGUUCCGAGGAACACGAGGCGGAGGCGGCUAGGGUUCUCGAAGCCGAGUGCAAGAGCCUACUUCAGAACUUACGGCACGAGGCUAGGGUGCAGGCUGUUCGAGACUACUACGCCUCGACUAACAUUAGGAGGGCCAAGAAGAAGUGCCGCGGCAAGUAUCUGAGUAAGGAGAAGUACAUGAAGGUAAUUACCUAUUCUUAAGGCCUUGUACUUAGUUUCCUGGAUUUCAUUCGUAGGCGUAGCACUGAAAUUUCUCUUUGCCUGACUUAGGUGCCCCCGAGAUGGUGUGCGGAUAGGAUGGACUGUUGGGAGGCGAUGGUGGAUGAGUGGUGCUCUCCCCAAUGGCUAGCCGUCCACAACAAGGCCAGGGAUAAGCGUGCCCAAAUGCAAAGUGUGCCACACCUGUUGGAAAUAUGCCCUAGAGGCAAUAAUAAAAUGGUUAUUAUUAUAUUUCCUUGUUCAUGAUAAUUGUCUUUUGUUCAUGCUAUAAUUGUGUUAUCCAGAAAUUGUAAUACAUGUGUGAACACAUAGACCAUAACAUGUCCCUAGUGAGCCUCUAGUUGACUAGCUCGUUGAUCAAUAGAUGGUUACGGUUUCCUGACCAUGGACAUUGGAUGUCAUUGAUAACGGGAUCACAUCAUUAGGAGAAUGAUGUGAUGGACAAGACCCAAUCCUAAGCAUAGCACUAGAUCGUGUAGUUCGUUUGCUGAAGCUUUUCUAAUCUCAAGUAUCAUUUCCUUAGACCAUGAGAUCGUGCAACUCCCGGAUACCGUAGGAAUGCUUUGGGUGUACCAAACGUCACAACAUAACUGGGUGGCCAUAAAGGUGCACUACAGGUAUCUCCGAAAGUGUCUGUUGGGUUGGCACAAAUCGAGACUGGGAUUUGUCACUCCGUAUGACGGAGAGGUAUCUCUGGGCCCACUCGGUAAUGCAUCAUCAUAAUGAGCUCAAUGUGACCAAGUGAUUGGUCACGGGAUCAUGCAUUACGGUAUGAGUAAAGUGACUUGUCGGUAACGAGAUUGAACGAGGUAUUGGGAUACCGACGAUCGAAUCUCGGGCAAGUAACGUACCGAUUGACAAAGGGAAUUGUAUACGGGAUUACUUGAAUCCUCGACAUCGUGGUUCAUCCGAUGAGAUCAUCCAGGAGCAUGUGGGAGCCAACAUGGGUAUCCAGAUCCCGCUGUUGGUUAUUGACCGGAGAGUCGUCUCGGUCAUGUCUGCGUGUCUCCCGAACCCGUAGGGUCUACACACUUAAGGUUCGGUGAUGCUAGGGUUGUAGAGAUCUUAGUAUGCGGUAACCCGAAAGUUGUUCGGAGUCCCGGAUGAGAUCCCAGACAUCACGAGGAGUUCCAGAAUGGUCCGGAGGUAAAGAUUUAUAUAUAGGAAGUCCAGUUUCGGCCACCGGGAAAGUUUCGGGGGUCACCGGUAUUGUACCGGGACCACCGGAAGGGUCCCGGGGGUCCACCGGGUGGGGCCACCUAUCCCGGAGGGCCCCAUGGGCUGAAGUGGGAAGGGAACCAGCCCCUGGUGGGCUGGUGCGCCCCCCAUGGACCUCCCCCUGCGCCUAGGGUUGGAAACCCUGGGGGUGGGGGCGCCCCACCUGACUUGGGGGGCAAGUUCCCCCCCUUGGCCGCCGCCCCCCCCCUUGAGAUGGGAUCUCCAGGGGCCGGCGCCCCCCAGGGCCCCUAUAUAAAAGGGGGGAGGGAGGGCUGCGCACCCAAGCCCCUGGCGCCUCCCUCUCCCCCCGUAACACCUCUCCCUCUCGCUGAGCUUGGCGAAGCCCUACCGAGAUCCCCGCUGCUUCCACCACCACGCCGUCGUGCUGCUGGAUCUCCAUCAACCUCUCCUUCCCCCUUGCUGGAUCAAGAAGGAGGAUACGUCUCUCCCAACCGUACGUGUGUUGAACGUGGAGGUGCCGUCAGUUCGGCGCUAGGAUCAUCGGUGAUUUGGAUCACGACGAGUACGAUUCAUCAACCCCGUUCUCUUGAACACUUCCGCUCGCGAUCUACAAGGGUAUGUAGAUGCACUCCUUCCCUCUCGUUGCUAGUAAACUCCAUAGAUUGAUCUUGGUGAUGCGUAGAAAAUUUUAAAUUUCUGCUACGAUCCCCAUCAGUGGCAUCAUGAGCCAGGUCUAUGCGUAGUUUCUAUGCAUGAGUAGAACACAAGUUGUUGUGGGCGUUGAUUUUGUCAAUUUACUUGCCAUUACUAGUCUUAUCUUGAUUCGGCGGCAUCGUGGGAUGAAGCGGCCCGGACCGACCUUACACGUACGCUUACGUGAGACAGGUUCCACCGACUGACAUGCACUAGUUGCAUAAGGUGGCUAGCGGGUGUCUGUCUCUCCCACUUUAGUCGGAUCGGAUUCGAUGAAAAGGGUCCUUAUGAAGGGUAAAUAGAAAUUGGCAUAUCACGUUGUGGUUUUGGCGUAGGUAAGAAUCGUUCUUGCUAGAAACCUAUAGCAGCCACAUAAAAGUUUGCAACAACAAUUAGAGGACGUCUAACUUGUUUUUGCAGCAAGUGUCAUGUGAUGUGAUAUGGCCAGAAGGAUGAGAUGAAUGAUAUAUGUGAUGUAUGAGAUUGAUCAUGUUCUUGUAAUAGGAAUCACGACUUGCAUGUCGAUGAGUAUGACAACCGGCAGGAGCCUAGGAGUUGUCUUAAUUUAUUUAUGACCUGCGUGUCAACUGAAACACCAUGUAAUUACUUUACUUUAUUGCUAACCAUUAGCCAUAGUAGUAGAAGUAAUAAUUGGCGAGACAACUUCAUGAAGACACGAUGAUGUAGAUCAUGGUGUCAUGCCGGUGACGAUGAUGAACAUGGCGCCCCGAAGAUGGAGAUCAAAAGGAGCAAAAUGAUAUUGGCCAUAUCAUGUCACUAUUUGAUUGCAUGUGAUGUUUAUCAUGUUUUACAUCUUAUUUGCUUAGAACGACGGUAGCAUAAAUAAGAUGAUCCCUCGCUAAAAUUUCAAGAAAGUGUUCCCCCUAACUGUGCACCGUUGCGAAGGUUCGUUGUUCCGAAGCACCACGUAAUGAUUGGGUGUGAUAGGUUCUAACGUUCGCAUACAACAGGUGUAAGCCAGAUUUACACACACAAUACACUUAGGUUGACUUGACGAGCCUAGCAUGUACAGACAUGGCCUCGGAACACAAGAGACCGAAAGGUCGAACAUGAGUCGUAUAGCAGAUACGAUCAACAUGAAGAUGUUCACCGAUGAUGACUAGUCCGUCUCACGUGAUGAUCGGACACGGCCUAGUUGACUCGGAUCAUGUAACACUUAGAUGACUAGAGGGAUGUCUGUCUGAGUGGGAGUUCGUUAAUAAUUUGAUUAGAUGAACUUUAUUAUCAUGAACUUAGUCUAAAAAUCUUUACAAUAUGUCUUGUAGAUCAAAUGGCCCACGCUAAUGUUGCCCUCAACUUCAACGCGUUCCUAGAGAAAACCAAGUUGAAAGACGAUGGUAGCAACUACACGGACUGGGUCCGUAACCUGAGGAUUAUCCUCAUAGCUGACAGAAAGCAUAUGUCCUUGAAGCACCGCUAGGUGAUGCACCUGUUUUCCCAGCAAAUCAAGACGUUCUGAACGCCUGGCAGUCGCGUAGUGAUGAUUACUCCCUGGUUCAGUGCGGCAUGCUUUACAGCUUAGAACCGGGGCUCCAAAAGCGUUUUGAGCAGCACGGAGCAUAUGAGAUGUUCCAAGAGCUGAAAAUGGUUUUCCAAGCUCAUGCCCGGGUCGAGAGAUAUGAAGUCUCCGACAAGUUCUACAGUUGUAAGAUGGAGGAGAAUAGUUCCGUCAGCGAACACAUACCCAAAAUGUCUGGGUUGCACAACCGCUUGUCUCAGCUGGGAGUUAAUCUCCCGGAUGACGCGAUCGUUGACAGAAUCCUUCAGUCGCUCCCACCUAGCUACAAGAGCUUUGUGAUGAACUUCAAUAUGCAGGGGAUGGAAAAGACCAUUCCUGAGGUAUAUUCAAUGCUGAAAUCAGCGGAGGUGGAGAUCAAAAAGGAACAUAAAGUGUUGAUGGUGAAUAAAACCACUAAGUUCAAGAAAGGCAAGGGUAAUAAGAACUUCAAGAAAGACGGCAAGGGAUUUGCCGCGCCCGGUAAGCAAGCUGCCGGGAAGAAGACAAAGAAUGGACCUAAGCCUGAGACUGAGUGCUUUUAUUGCAAGGGAAACGGUCACUGGAAGCGGAACUGCCCCAAAUACUUAGCGGAUAAGAAGGCCGGCAAUACCAAAGGUAUAUGUGAUAUACAUGUUAUUGAUGUGUACCUAACCAGCGCUCGUAGUAGCUCCUGGGUAUUUGAUACCGGUGCGGUUGCUCAUAUUUGUAACUCAAAGCAGGAGCUGCGGAAUAAGCGGGGACUGGCGAAAGACGAGGUGACGAUGCGCGUCGGGAAUGGUUCCAAGGUCGAUGUGAUCGCCAUCGGUACGCUACCUCUACAUUUACCUACGGGAUUAGUUUUAAACCUCAAUAAUUGUUAUUUAGUGCCAGCUUUGAGCAUGAACAUUGUAUCUGGAUCUCGUUUAAUGCGAGAUGGCUACUCAUUUAAAUCCGAGAAUAAUGGUUGUUCUAUUUAUAUGAGAGAUAUGUUUUAUGGUCAUGCCCCGCUGGUCAAUGGUUUAUUCUUAAUGAAUCUCGAAUGUGAUGUUACACAUAUUCAUAGUGUGAAUGCCAAUAAAUGUAAGGUUGAUAAUGAUAGUCCCACAUACUUGUGGCACUGCCGCCUUGGACAUUGGUGUCAAACGCAUGAAGAAACUCCAUGCAGAUGGACUUUUGGAGUCCCUUGAUUAUGAAUCAUUUGACACGUGCGAACCAUGCCUCAUGGGCAAAAUGACCAAGACUCCGUUCUCCGUAACAAUGGAGCGAGCAACCAACUUAUUGGAAAUCAUACAACUGAUGUGUGCGGUCCAAUGAGCGUUGAGGCUCGCGGUGGCUAUCGUUAUGUUCUCACCCUCACUGCUGACUUGAGUAGAUAUGGGUAUGUCUACUUAAUGAAACACAAGUCUGAGACCUUUGAAAAGUUCAAGGAAUUUCAGAGUGAGGUUGAGAAUCAACGUGACAGGAAAAUAAAGUUCUUACGAUCAGAUCGUGGAGGGGAAUAUUUGAGUCACGAAUUUGGCACACACUUAAGGAAAUGUGGAAUUGUUUCACAACUCACGCCGCCUGGAACACCUCAGCGUAAUGGUGUGUCCGAACGUCGUAAUCGCACUCUAUUGGAUAUGGUGCGAUCUAUGAUGUCUCUUACUGAUCUACCGCUAUCAUUCUGGGGUUAUGCUUUAGAGACUGCCGCAUUCACUUUAAAUAGGGCUCCGUCGAAAUCCAUUGAGACGACACCGUAUGAAUUAUGGUUUGGAAAGAAACCUAAGCUGUCGUUUCUUAAAGUUUGGGGAUGCGAUGCUUAUGUCAAGAAACUUCAACCUGAAAAGCUCGAACCCAAGUCGGAAAAAUGUGUCUUCAUAGGAUACCCUAAGGAAACCAUUGGGUAUACCUUCUACCUCAGAUCCGAAGGCAAGAUCUUCGUUGCCAAGAAUGGGUCCUUUCUGGAGAAAGAGUUUCUCUCGAAAGAAGUAAGUGGGAGGAAAGUGGAACUUGAUGAGAUGACCCCUCUCGCACCGGAAAGUAGCGCAGCACAAGAAAAUGUUUCUGUGGUGCCUGCAUCGACUAGAGAGGAAGUUAAUGAUGACGAUCAUGAUCAAGUUACCACUGAACUUCGUAGGUCCACAAGGACAUGUUCCGCACCAGAGUGGUACGGCAACCCUGUCUUGGAAAUCAUGUUGUUGGACAACGGUGAACCUUCAAACUAUGAAGAAGCAAUGGCGGGUCCAUAUUCCAACAAAUGGCAUGAAGCCAUGCAGUCCGAGAUAGGAUCCAUGUAUGAAAACAAAGUAUGGACUUUGACAGACUUGCCCGAUGAUCGGCGAGCGAUAGAAAAUAAAUGGAUCUUUAAGAAGAAGACGGACGCGGAUGGAAAUGUUACCAUCUAUAAAGCUCGACUUGUCGCUAAGGGUUAUCGACAAGUUCAAGGUGUUGACUACGAUGAGACCUUCUCACCCGUAGCGAAGCUGAAGUCCGUCCAAAUCAUGUUAGCAAUUGCCGCAUUCUACGAUUAUGAAAUAUGGCAAAUGGACGUCAAAACGGCAUUCCUUAACGGCUUCCUUAAGGAAGAAUUGUAUAUGAUGCAGCCGGAAGGUUUUGUCGAUCCUAAGAAUGCUAACAAAGUAUGCAAGCUCCAGCGCUCAAUCUAUGGGCUGGUGCAGGCAUCUCGGAGUUGGAACAUUCGCUUUGAUGAGAUGAUCAAAGCGUUUGGGUUUACACAGACUUAUGGAGAAGCCUGUGUUUACAAGAAAGUGAGUGGGAGCUCUGUAGCAUUUUGUUGGGGAACGUAGUAAUUUCAAAAAAUUUCCUACGCACACGCAAGAUCAUGGUGAUGCAUAGCAACGAGAGGGGAGAGUGCUGUCCACGUACCCUCGUCGACCGUAAGCGGAAGCGUUAACACAACGCGGUUGAUGUAGUCGUACGUCUUCACGAUCCGACCGAUCAAGUACCGAGCGCACGGCACCUCCGAGUUCAGCACACGUUCAGCUCGAUGACGUCCCUCGAACUCCGAUCCAGCCGAGUGUUGAGGGAGAGUUUCAUCAGCACGACGGCGUGGUGACGAUGAUGAUGUUCUACCGACGCAAGGCUUCGCCUAAGCACCGCUACGAUAUUAUCGAGGUGUAAUAUGGUGGAGGGGGGCACCACACACGGCUAAAAGAUCAUAGAUCAAUUGUGUGUAGAGAGGUGCCCCUACCCCCGUAUAUAAAGGAGCAAGGGGGAGGCCGCCGGCCAAGGGAGGAGAGGCGCGCCAGGAGGAGUCCUACUCCUACCGGGAGUAGGACUCCCCCCUUUUCCAUGUUGGACUAGGAGUGGAAGGGGGAAGAGGUGGAGGGGAGGAAGGAAGGGGGGGCGCCGCCCCCUCUCCUUGUCCUAUUCAGACUGGGGGGGAAGGGGGGCGCGGCCCUGCCCUGGCCUCCUCUCCUCUCUUCCACCUAGGCCCACUAAGGCCCAUUAAGUUACCGGGGGGUUCCGGUAACCUCCCGGUACUCCGGAAAAAUCCCGAUUUCACCCGGAACACUUCCGAUGUCCAAACAUAGGCUUCCAAUAUAUCAAUCUUUAUGUCUCGACCAUUUCGAGACUCCUCGUCAUGUCCGUGAUCACAUCCGGGACUCCGAACAACCUUCGGUACAUCAAAACAUAUAAACUCAUAAUAUAACUGUCAUCGUAACUUUAAGCGUGCGGACCCUACGGGUUCGAGAACUAUGUAGACAUGACCGAGACACCUCUCCGGUCAAUAACCAAUAGCGGAACCUGGAUGCUCAUAUUGGUUCCCACAUAUUCUACGAAGAUCUUUAUCGGUCAGACCGCAUAACAACAUACGUUGUUCCCUUUGUCAUCGGUAUGUUACUUGCCCGAGAUUCGAUCGUCGGUAUCUCGAUACCUAGUUCAAUCUCGUUACCGGCAAGUCUCUUUACUCAUUCCGUAAUACAUCAUCCCGCAACUAACUCAUUAGUCACAAUGCUUGCAAGGCUUAUAGUGAUGUGUAUUACUGAGUGGGCCCAGAGAUACCUCUCCGACAAUCGGAGUGACAAAUCCUAAUCUCGAAAUACGCCAACCCAACAAGUACCUUUGGAGACACCUGUAGAGCACCUUUAUAAUCACCCAGUUACGUUGUGACGUUUGGUAGCACACAAAGUGUUCCUCCGGUAAACGGGAGUUGCAUAAUCUCAUAGUCAUAGGAACAUGUAUAAGUCAUGAAGAAAGCAAUAACAACAUACUAAACGAUCGAGUGCUAAGCUAACGGAAUGGGUCAAGUCAAACACAUCAUUCUCCUAAUGAUGUGAUCCCGUUAAUCAAAUGACAACUCAUGUCUAUGGCUAGGAAACAUAACCAUCUUUGAUCAACGAGCUAGUCAAGUAGAGGCAUACUAGUGACACUCUGUUUGUCUAUGUAUUCACACAUGUAUUAUGUUUCCGGUUAAUACAAUUCUAGCAUGAAUAAUAAACAUUUAUCAUGAUAUAAGGAAAUAAAUAAUACUUUAUUAUUGCCUCUAGGGCAUAUUUCCUUCAGUCUCCCACUUGCACUAGAGUCAAUAAUCUAGAUUACACAGUAAUGAUUCUUACACCCAUGGAGUCUUGGUGCUGAUCAUGUUUUGCUCGUGGAUGAGGCUUAGUCAACGGGUCUGCAACAUUCAGAUCCAUAUGUAUCUUGCAAAUUUCUAUGUCUCCCACCUGGACUAAAUCCCGGAUGGAAUUGAAGCGUCUUUUGAUGUGCUUGGUUCUCUUGUGAAAUCUGGAUUCCUUUGCUAAGGCAAUUGCACCAGUAUUGUCACAAAAGAUUUUCAUUGGUCCCGAUGCACUAGGUAUGACACCUAGAUCGGAUAUGAACUCCUUCAUCCAGACUCCUUCAUUUGCUGCUUCCGAAGCAGCUAUGUACUCCGCUUCACACGUAGAUCCCGCCACGACACUUUGCUUAGAACUGCACCAACUGACAGCUCCACCGUUCAAUGUAAACAUGUAUCCGGUUUGCGAUUUAGAAUCGUCCGGAUCAGUGUCAAAGCUUGCAUCAACGUAACCAUUUACGAUGAGCUCUUUGUCACCUCCAUAAACGAGAAACAUAUCCUUAGUCCUUUUCAGGUAUUUCAGGAUGUUCUUGACCGCUGUCCAGUGAUCCACUCCUGGAUUACUUUGGUACCUCCCUGCUAAACUUAUAGCAAGGCACACAUCAGGUCUGGUACACAACAUUGCAUACAUGAUAGAGCCUAUGGCUGAAGCAUAGGGAACAUCUUUUAUCUUCUCUCUAUCUUCUGCAGUGGUCGGGCAUUGAGUCUUACUCAAUCUCACACCUUGUAGUACAGGCAAGAACCCUUUCUUUGCUUGAUCCAUUUUGAACUUCUUCAAAACUUUGUCAAGGUAUGUGCUUUGUGAAAGUCCAAUUAAGCGUCUUGAUCUAUCUCUAUAGAUCUUAAUGCCUAAUAUAUAUGCAUCUUCACCGAGGUCUUUCAUUGAAAAACUCUUAUUCAAGUAUCCCUUUAUGCUAUCCAAAAAUUCUAUAUCAUUUCCUAUCAGCAAUAUGUCAUCCACAUAUAAUAUCAGAAAUGCUACUGAGCUCCCACUCACUUUCUUGUAAAUACAGGCUUCUCCAAAAGUCUGUAUAAAACCAAAUGCUUUGAUCACACUAUCAAAGCGUUUAUUCCAACUUCGAGAGGCUUGCACCAGUCCAUAAAUGGAUCGCUGGAGCUUGCACACUUUGUUAGCUCCCUUUGGAUCGACAAAACCUUCCGGUUGCAUCAUAUACAACUCUUCUUCCAGAAAUCCAUUCAGGAAUGCAGUUUUGACAUCCAUUUGCCAAAUUUCAUAAUCAUAAAAUGCGGCAAUUGCUAACAUGAUUCGGACAGACUUAAGCAUCACUACGGGUGAGAAGGUCUAAUCGUAGUCAAUCCCUUGAACUUGUCGAAAACCUUUCGCAACAAGUCGAGCUUUAUAGACAGUAACAUUACCGUCAGCGUCAGUCUUCUUCUUGAAGAUCCAUUUAUUUUCAAUGGCUUGCCGAUCAUCGGGCAAGUCAACCAAAGUCCAUACUUUGUUCUCAUACAUGGAUCCCAUCUCGGAUUUCAUGGCUUCAAGCCAUUUUGCGGAAUCUGGGCUCACCAUCACUUCUUCAUAGUUCGUAGGUUCGUCAUGGUCUAGUAACAUAACCUCCAGAACAGGAUUACCGUACCACUCUGGUGCGGAUCUUAAUCUGGUUGACCUACGAGGUUUAGUAAUAACUUGAUCUGAAGUUUCAUGAUCAUUAUCAUUAACUUCCUCACUAAUUGGCGUAGGUGUCGCAGAAACUGGUUUCUGUGAUGAUCUACUUUCCAAUAAGGGAGCAGGUACAAUUACCUCAUCAAGUUCUACUUUCCUCCCACUCACUUCUUUCGAGAGAAACUCCUUCUCUAGAAAGGAUCCAUUCUUAGCAACGAAUGUCUUGCCUUCGGAUCUGUGAUAGAAGGUGUACCCAACAGUCUCCUUUGGGUAUCCUAUGAAGACACAUUUCUCCGAUUUAGGUUCGAGCUUAUCAGGUUGAAGUUUCUUCACAUAAGCAUCGCAACCCCAAACUUUAAGAUACGACAACUUUGGUUUCUUGCCAAACCAUAGUUCAUAAGGCGUCGUCUCAACGGAUUUCGAUGGUGUCCUAUUUAGAGUGAAUGCUACCGUCUCUAAAGCAUAACCCCAAAACGAUAGCGGUAAAUCAGUAAGAGACAUCAUAGAUCAUACCAUAUCUAGUAAAGUAUGAUUAUGACGUUCGGACACACCAUUAAGUUGUGGUGUUCCGGGUGGCGUGAGUUGCGAAACUAUUCCGCAUUGUUUCAAAUGUAGGCCAAACUCGUAACUCAAGUAUUCUCCUCCACGAUCAGAUCGUAGAAAUUUUAUUUUCUUGUUACGAUGAUUUUCAACUUCACUCUGAAAUUCUUUGAACUUUUCAAAUGUUUCAGACUUAUGUUUCAUUAAGUAGAUAUACCCAUAUCUGCUCAAAUCAUCUGUGAAGGUGAGAAAAUAACGAUAUCCGCCACGAGCCUCAAUAUUCAUCGGACCACAUACAUCUGUAUGUAUGAUUUCCAAUAAAUCUGUUGCUCUCUCCAUAGUUCCGGAGAACGGUGUUUUAGUCAUCUUGCCCAUGAGGCACGGUUCGCAAGUACCAAGUGAUUCAUAAUCAAGUGAUUCCAAAAGUCCAUCGGUAUGGAGUUUCUUCAUGCGCUUUACACCGAUAUGACCUAAAUGGCAGUGCCACAAAUAAGUUGCACUAUCAUUAUCAACUCUGCAUCUUUUGGCUUCGACAUUAUGAAUAUGUGUAUCACUACUAUCGAGAUUCAACAAAAAUAGACCACUCUUCAAGGGUGCAUGACCAUAAAAGAUAUUAUUCAUAUAAAUAGAACAACCAUUAUUCUCUGAUUUAAAUGAAUAACCGUCUCGCAUUAAACAAGAUCCAGAUAUAAUGUUCAUGCUUAACGCUGGCACCAAAUAACAAUUAUUUAGGUCUAAAACUAAUCCCGAAGGUAGAUGUAGAGGUAGCGUGCUGACCGCGAUCACAUCGACUUUGGAACCAUUUCCCACGCGCAUCGUCACCUCGUCCUUAGCCAAUCUUCGCUUAAUCCGUAGCCCCUGUUUCGAGUUGCAAAUAUUAGCAACAGAACCAGUAUCAAAUACCCAGGUGCUACUGCGAGCAUUAGUAAGGUACACAUCAAUAACAUGUAUAUCACAUAUACCUUUGUUAACCUUGCCAUCCUUCUUAUCCGCCAAAUACUUGGGGCAGUUCCGCUUCCAGUGACCAGUCUGCUUGAAGUAGAAGCACUCAGUUUCAGGCUUAGGUCCAGACUUGGGUUUCUUCUCCUGAACAGCAACUUGCUUGCUGUUCUUCUUGAAGUUCCCCUUCUUCUUCCCUUUGCCCUUUUUCUUGAAACUAGUGGUCUUAUUGACCAUCAACACUUGAUGCUCCUUUUUGAUUUCUACCUCUGUUGCCUUUAGCAUUGCGAAGAGCUCGGGAAUUGUCUUAUUCAUCCCUUGCAUGUUAUAGUUCAUCACGAAGCUCUUGUAGCUUGGUGGCAGUGAUUGAAGAAUUCUGUCAAUGACGCUAUCAUCCGGAAGAUUAACUCCCAGUUGAAUCAAGUGAUUAUUAUACCCAGACAUUUUGAGUAUAUGCUCACUGACAGAACUAUUCUCUUCCAUCUUGCGGCUGUAGAACUUAUUGGAGACUUCAUAUCUCUCAAUCCGGGCAUUUGCUUGAAAUAUUAACUUCAACUCCUGGAACAUCUCAUAUGCUCCAUGACGUUCAAAACGUCGUUGAAGACCCGGUUCUAAGCCGUAAAGCAUGGCACACUGAACUAUCGAGUAGUCAUCAGCUUUGCUCUGCCAGACGUUCAUAACUUCUGGUGUUGCUCUUGCAGGAGGCCUGGCACCCAGCGGUGCUUCCAGGACGUAAUUUUUCUGUGCAGCAAUGAGGAUAAUCCUCAAGUUACGGACCGAGUCCGUGUAAUUGCUACCAUCAUCUUUCAACUUUGCUUUCUCAAGGAACGCAUUAAAAUUCAAUGGAACAACAGCACGGGCCAUUUAUCUACAAUUAACAUAGACAAGCAAGAUACUAUUAGGUACUAAGUUCAUGAUAAAUUUAAGUUCUAUUAAUCAUAUUACUUAAGAACUCCCACUUAGAUAGACAUCCCUCUAAUCAUCUAAGUGAUUACGUGAUCCAAAUCAACUAAACCAUGUCCGAUCAUCACGUGAGAUGGAGUAGUUUCAAUGGUGAGCAUCACUAUGUUGAUCAUAUCUACUAUAUGAUUCACGCUCGACCUUUCGGUCUCCGUGUUCCGAGGCCAUAUCUGCAUAUGCUAGGCUCGUCAAGUUUAACCUGAGUAUUCCGCGUGUGCAACUGUUUUGUACCCGUUGUAUUUGAACGUAGAACCUAUCACACCCGAUCAUUACGUGGUGUCUCAGCACGAAGAACUUUCGCAACGGUGCAUACUCAGGGAGAACACUUUUAUCUUGAAAUUUUAGUGAGAGAUCAUCUUAUAAUGCUACCGUCAAUCAAAGCAAGAUAAGAUGCAUAAAAGAUUAACAUCACAUGCAAUCAAUAUAAGUGAUAUGAUAUGGCCAUCAUCAUCUUGUGCUUGUGAUCUCCAUCUCCGAAGCACCGUCAUGAUCACCAUCGUCACCGGCGCGACACCUUGAUCUCCAUCGUAGCAUCGUUGUCGUCUCGCCAACUAUUGCUUUUACGACUAUCGCUACCGCUUAGUGAUAAAGUAAAACAAUCACAUGGCGAUUGCAUUUCAUACAAUAAAGCGACAACCAUAUGGCUCCUGCCAGUUGCCGAUAACUCGGUUACAAAACAUGAUCAUCUCAUACAAUAAAAUAUAACAUCAUGUCUUGACCAUAUCACAUCACAACAUGCCCUGCAAAAACAAGUUAGACGUCCUCUACUUUGUUGUUGCAAGUUUUACUUGGCUGCUACGGGCUUAGCAAGAACCGUUCUUACCUACGCAUCAAAACCACAACGAUAGUUUGUCAAGUUGGUGCUGUUUUAACCUUCGCAAGGACCGGGCGUAGCCACACUCGGUUCAACUAAAGUGAGAGAGACAGACACCCGCCAGUCACCUUUAAGCAACGAGUGCUCGCAACAGUGAAACCAGUCUCGCGUAAGCGUACGCGUAAUGUCGGUCAGGGCCGCUUCAUCUCACAAUACCGCCGAACCAAAGUAUGACAUGCUGGUAAGCAGUUUGACUUAUAUCGCCCACAACUCACUUGUGUUCUACUCGUGCAUAACAUCAACGCAUAAAACCAGGCUCGGAUGCCACUGUUGGGGAAUGUAGUAAUUUCAAAAAAAUUCCUACGCACACGCAAGAUCAUGGUCAUGCAUAGCAACGAGAGGGGAGAGUGUUGUCAACGUACCCUCGGAGUCCGUAAGCGGAAGCGUUAACACAAUGCGGUUGAUGUAGUCAUACGUCUUCACGAUCCGACCGAUCAAGUACCGAACGCACGACACCUCCGAGUUCAGCACACGUUCAGCUCGAUGACGUCCCUCGAACUUCGAUCCAGCCGAGUGUUGAGGGAGAGUUUCGUCAGCACGACGGCGUGGUGACGAUGAUGAUGUUCUACCGACGCAGGGCUUCGCCUAAGCACCGCUACGAUAUUAUCGAGGUGUAAUAUGGUGGAGGGGGCACCGCACACGGCUAAAAGAUCGUAGAUCAAUUGUGUGUAGAGAGGUGCCCCCCUAACCCCGUAUAUAAAGGAGUAAGGGGGAGGCCGCCGGCCAAGGGAGGAGAGGCGCGCCAGGAGGAGUCCUACUCCUACCGGGAGUAGGACUCCCCCCUUUUCCAUGUUGGACUAGGAGUGGAAGGGGAAGAGGUGGAGGGGAGGAAGGAAGGGGGGGCGCCGCCCCCCUCUACUUGUCCUAUUCGGACUGGGGGGAAGGGGGGCGCGGCUUUGCCCUGGCCUCCUCUCCUCUCUUCCACCUAGGCCCACUAAGGCCCAUUAAGUUACUGGGGGGUUCCGGUAACCUCCGGUACUCCGGAAAAAUCCCGAUUUCACCCGGAACACUUCCGAUGUCCAAACAUAGGCUUCCACUAUAUCAAUCUUUAUGUCCCGACCAUUUUGAGACUCCUCGUCAUGUCCGUGAUCACAUCCGGGACUCCGAACAACCUUCGGUACAUCAAAACAUAUAAACUCAUAAUAUAACUGUCAUCGUAACUUUAAGCGUGCGGACCCUACGGGUUCGAGAACUAUGUAGACAUGACCGAGACACCUCUCCGGUCAAUAACCAACAGGGGAACCUGGAUGCUCAUAUUGGUUCCCACAUAUUCUACGAAGAUCUUUAUCGAUCAGACCGCAUAACAACAUACGUUGUUCCCUUUGUCAUCGGUAUGUUACUUGCCCGAGAUUCGAUCGUCGGUAUCUCGAUACCUAGUUCAAUCUCGUUACCGGCAAGUCUCUUUACUCGUUCCGUAAUACAUCAUCCCGCAACUAACUCAUUAGUCACAAUGCUUGCAAGGCUUAUAGUGAUGUGUAUUACUGAGUGGGCCCAGAGAUACCUCUCCGACAAUCGGAGUGACAAAUCCUAAUCUCGAAAUACGCCAACCCAACAAGUACCUUUGGAGACACCUGUAGAGCACCUUUAUAAUCACCCAGUUACGUUGUGACGUUUGGUAGCACACAAAGUGUUCCUCCGGUAAACGGGAGUUGCAUAAUCUCAUAGUCAUAGGAACAUGUAUAAGUCAUGAAGAAAGCAAUAGCAACAUACUAAACGAUCGAGUGCUAAGCUAACGAAAUGGGUCAAGUCAAUCACAUCAUUCUCCUAAUGAUGUGAUCCCGUUAAUCAAAUGACAACUCAUUAACUUGUUAUUUCUCCUUCUUCCCCUAGCUUCCUUUGAUUACCUCUUGUAAUCCCCCAUUGUACUUGUACUGUAUCUCUUUUUCUCAAUAAAGUUUUGAUAUGCUGUGGGGGUUUCCCCUACAGUUCCUAGUCAAAAAAAUGACAACUCAUGUCUAUGGCUAGGAAACAUAACCAUCUUUGAUCAACGAGCUAGUCAAGUAGAGGCAUACUAGUGACACUCUGUUUGUCUAUGUAUUCACACAUGUAUUAUGUUUCCGGUUAAUACAAUUCUAGCAUGAAUAAUAAACAUUUAUCAUGAUAUAAGGAAAUAAAUAAUACUUUAUUAUUGCCUCUAGAGCAUAUUUCCUUCACAUUUCUCAUAUUAUAUGUGGAUGACAUACUAUUGAUGGGAAAUGAUAUAGAAUUCUUGGAAAGUAUAAAGGCCUACUUGAAUAAGUGUUUUUCAAUGAAGGACCUUGGAGAAGCUGCUUACAUAUUAGGCAUCAAGAUCUAUAGAGAUAGAUCGAGACGCCUCAUAGGUCUUUCACAAAGCACAUACCUUGACAAGAUAUUGAAGAAGUUCAAUAUGGAUCAGUCCAAGAAGGGGUUCUUGCCUGUAUUGCAAGGUGUGAGAUUGAGCACGGGUCAAUGCCCGACCACGGCAGAAGAUAGAGAAAAGAUGAGUGUCGUCCCCUAUGCCUCGGCCAUAGGGUCUAUUAUGUAUGCCAUGCUGUGUACCGGACCUGAUGUAAACCUUGCCGUGAGUUUGGUAGGAACGUACCAAAGUAAUCCCGGCAUGGAACACUGGACAGCGGUCAAGAACAUCCUGAAGUACCUGAAAAGGACUAAGGAUAUGUUUCUCAUUUAUGGAGGUGACGAAGAGCUCGUCGUAAAGGGUUACGUCGAUGCUAGCUUCGACACAUAUCUGGAUGACUCUAAGUCACAAACCGGAUACGUGUAUAUUUUGAAUGGUGGGGCAGUCAGCUGGUGCAGUUGCAAGCAGAGCGUCGUGGCGGGAUCUACAUGUGAAGCGGAGUACAUGGCAGCCUCGGAGGUAGCACAUGAAGCAAUCUGGAUGAAGGAGUUCAUUGCCGACCUAGGAGUCAUUCCCAAUGCAUCGGGGCCGAUGACUCUCUUCUGUGACAACGCUGGAGCUAUUGCCCUUGCCAAGGAGCCCAGGUUUCACAAGAAGACCAGGCACAUCAAGCGUCGCUUCAACUCCAUUCGUGAAAAUGUUCAAAAUGGAGACAUAGAUAUUUGUAAAGUGCAUACAGAUUUGAAUGUCGCAGAUCCGUUGACUAAACCUCUUCCACGGGCAAAACAUGAUCAACACCAGAACUCUAUGGGUGUAUGAUUCAUCACAAUGUAACUAGAUUAUUGACUCUAGUGCAAGUGGGAGACUGUUGGAAAUAUGCCCUAGAGGCAAUAAUAAAAUGGUUAUUAUUAUAUUUCCUUGUUCAUGAUAAUUGUCUUUUGUUCAUGCUAUAAUUGUGUUAUCCGGAAAUCGUAAUACAUGUGUGAACACAUAGACCAUAACAUGUCCCUAGUGAGCUCUAGUUGACUAGCUCGUUGAUCAAUAGAUGGUUACGGUUUCCUGACCAUGGACAUUGGAUGUCAUUGAUAACGGGAUCACAUCAUUAGGAGAAUGAUGUGAUGGACAAGACCCAAUCCUAAGCAUAGCACUAGAUCGUGUAGUUCGUUUGCUGAAGCUUUUCUAAUGUCAAGUAUCAUUUCCUUAGACCAUGAGAUCGUGCAACUCCCGAAUACCGUAGGAAUGCUUUGGGUGUACCAAAUGUCACAACAUAACUGGGUGGCCAUAAAGGUGCACUACAGGUAUCUCCGAAAGUGUCUGUUGGGUUGGCACAGAUCGAGACUGGGAUUUGUCACUCCGUAUGAUGGAGAGGUAUCUCUGGGCCCACUCGGUAAUGCAUCAUGAUAAUGAGCUCAAUGUGACCAAGUGAUUGGUCACGGGAUCAUGCAUUACGGUACGAGUAAAGUGACUUGUCGGUAACGAGAUUGAACGAGGUAUUGGGAUACCGACGAUCGAAUCUCGGGCAAGUAACGUACCGAUUGACAAAGGGAAUUGUAUACGGGACUACUUGAAUCCUCGACAUCGUGGUUCAUCCGAUGAGAUCAUCGAGGAGCAUGUGGGAGCCAACAUGGGUAUCCAGAUCCCGCUGUUGGUUAUUGACCGGAGAGUCGUCUCGGUCAUGUCUGCGUGUCUCCCGAACCCGCAGGGUCUACACACUUAAGGUUCGAUGACGUUAGGGUUGUAGAGAUAUUAGUAUGCGGUAACCCGAAAGUUGUUCGGAGUCCCGGAUGAGAUCCCGGACAUCAUGAGGAGUUCCGGAAUGGUCCGGAGGUAAAGAUUUAUAUAUAGGAAGUCUAGUUUCGGCCACCGGGAAAGUUUCGGGGGUCACCGGUAUUGUACCGGGACCACCGUAAGGGUCCCGGGGGUCCACCGGGUGGGGCCACCUAUCCCGGAGGGCCCCAUGGGCUGAAGUGGGAAGGGAACCAGCCCCUGGUGGGCUGGUGCGCCCCCCAUGGGCCUCCCCCUGCGCCUAGGGUUGGAAACCCUGGGGGUGGGGGCGCCCCACCUGACUUGGGGGGCAAGUUCCCCCCCCUUGGCCGCCGCCGCCCCUUGAGAUGGGAUCUCUAGGUGCCGGCGCCCCCCAGGGCCCCUAUAUAAAGGGGGGGGGGGAUGGAGGGCUGCGCACCCAAGCCCCUGGCGCCUCCCUCUCCCCCCGUAACACCUCUCCCUCUCGCUAAGCUUGGCGAAGCCCUGCCGAGAUCCCCGCUGCUUCCAUCACCACGCCGUCGUGCUUCUGGAUCUCCAUCAACCUCUCCUUCCCCCUUGCUGGAUCAAGAAGGAGGAGACGUCUCUCCCAACCAUACAUGUGUUGAACGCGGAGGUGCCGUCCGUUCGGCGCUAGGAUCAUCGGUGAUUUGGAUCACGACGAGUACGACUCCAUCAACCCCGUUCUCUUGAACGCUUCCGCUCGCGAUCUACAAGGGUAUGUAGAUGCACUCCUUCCCUCUCGUUGCUAGUAAACUCCAUAGAUUGAUCUUGGUGAUGCGUAGAAAAUUUUAAAUUUCUGCUACGAUCCCCAUCAACACCAUCAAGGAAGCUCCAACCUGUUUGAGUACGAGGAUCACUGGGUAUGUGGUUUGAGCCCUUAACAUUUCAUGCAAUUUCAUUCUUCAUGCUAGCUUGAGCCCUUAACUAAUAUGUUGUUCCUCUCUUUGAGGUGAAACACAA
rnacentral:lncRNA from 1 species